AUUGAACGCUGGCGGAAUGCUUUACACAUGCAAGUCGAACGGCAGCACGGACUUCGGUCUGGUGGCGAGUGGCGAACGGGUGAGUAAUACAUCGGAACGUGCCCAGUCGUGGGGGAUAACGUAGCGAAAGCUACGCUAAUACCGCAUACGAUCUAAGGAUGAAAGCGGGGGAUCGCAAGACCUCGCGCGAUGGGAGCGGCCGAUGGCAGAUUAGGUAGUUGGUAGGGUAAAGGCCUACCAAGCCGACGAUCUGUAGCUGGUCUGAGAGGAUGAUCAGCCACACUGGGACUGAGACACGGCCCAGACUCCUACGGGAGGCAGCAGUGGGGAAUUUUGGACAAUGGGCGCAAGCCUGAUCCAGCCAUUCCGCGUGCAGGAUGAGGGCCUUCGGGUUGUAAACUGCUUUUGUACAGAACGAAAAGGCUCUGGUUAAUACCCGGGGCUCAUGACGGUACUGUAAGAAUAAGCACCGGCUAACUACGUGCCAGCAGCCGCCGUAA
rnacentral:rRNA from 1 species